AAGCUGAUUAAAAAGAAAAUGCAAACUAACAUGAAAAUACAUAAAUCCAAACACUAUUCUCAUUAGCUAAUUUCCAAAAUUAAUAUAAACAAAAAUCUGACAACUGUUACUUUUUUUUUAUCAGUAUGAUGAAACUGAUCACCUCGAAUAAUGUCACCAGUUUGGUAAUAUGAUAAAGGAUCCCCGUGGUUACUGUGAGAAGGUACAUCUCUUAACGGACAAAGAGCCUGCAAUGAGAAGUAUUUUAAGACACCACACAUUCCAUUCUUUCGUAUCUAACUCCAAACACUAAAUAAGAACACGUGCAGCUAGAAGAAAUAAGCCUGCAAUACCAAUCUCACCAUAUCCACUGGUAUCUCUGAGCAUUUAAAAUAUGACUCUAUCCCUGCCAACCAAAGGGACCAAGCAAACCUCACAAAACCAGAAAUAAAGGAGGAAACUAUGGUACACCUAAGCCCAAGUGGAUGCAAAGACCUAAUUCUUGCAUUGAGAGGACUCCUACCAAAAACAGAAGCAAACAAACAACUGAAAAGUAACUUACUGUGAUUUCUAAGUGGGAUAUAUCUCUUAUGAUGCCACUGCCUAAACAGAUCAACACCAUGAAAAACCCAAACUCCCGGAUGGAACUAAUCCUUCCAAUCACUAUAUCACCACGCUCAAUAUCUCGGAAAAACAGCUCUCUCCGGUCCAUACUAGGUAUUUCCAUGAACUGCUCUAACGGCGGCAUGACUGCAUAACCAUCUGAAACAAAAACAAAACAAAAUUGCGCCUUGCUUCAUCUCAGGUGCAGUGAAAUAACCCAAAGCGCAAUCAAAAUAUUUUAAUAAAACUCACCUUCGUUGUCUUCAUUGACUUCAGAAGUUACAGGCGCAUCCGAUUUCCAGGAAAGUGCAAAAAGCAAAUCUGCUUUUUUGGAAAUGAAUUUCUGUAUUUCGAUGUUGUCAACUCUCUUCUCUUUUCUUAAAAGGAAACAAAAUUUAUGAAAACUGGUUUAUGGGCAAAACCUUUCCAGGUAGGUCUAAGCUUAAGCUCACGGCUCUCGGGGCCCAAUCGCGUCCAUCCUAAGCUCCGGGCCGUACAUCCUCUGAGAAAAAGUUUU